UACGUAGGGCGCGAGCGUUGUCCGGAAUUAUUGGGCGUAAAGAGCUCGUAGGCGGCCGGUUGCGUCUGCUGUGAAAUCCCGGGGCUUAACCCCGGGCGUGCAGUGGAUACGGGCUGGCUGGAGGCAGGCAGGGGAGAAUGGAAUUCCCGGUGUAGCGGUGAAAUGCGCAGAUAUCGGGAGGAACACCGGUGGCGAAGGCGGUUCUCUGGGCCUUACCUGACGCUGAGGCGCGAAAGCGUGGGGAGCAAACAGG
rnacentral:rRNA from 1 species